UCGAGGUUAUUGUUCCUGUUACUGAUCUCUUCUCUACUCUUCCAGUUUUUGAAGGGAGCGGAUGACUUAUCUUCAGAUGAAAACUCUUCUAAGGAGGAAGGCAAAUAUUUAGAAAGGAGAACUGGCUUAUAUGCGGAUGACGAAAGGGUAUUAAGUGAAGUAUGUGGAAAAGGAAGAUCAGUUGUGCAGCGGGAACGAACUGAUAUUUUAGAUUCCGAUGUUUGUGCUGCUAUCCUUCAGAAGAUGAAAAAACUCAUCUUAAAUAUAAAUUUAAAAAAAGACAUCGUUUUGAAAUGUAUUUUGGAAAACCGUACUCGGCUCUCUGCUGAAAUUAGACGCAGAUCAUUCAUCAUAUGUCCAAUACUGAACCUUUUAGGUAUUCAUGCUGAAAUAUCACUUGGAAUUGGAGGUAAACCCCGAAAGGAUAAGGAUAAAAAGCCACCGACUAAGCCGGUCAACGAGGCACGCGAGACUAUCAAACUAACCAUUUCUCUUAUAUUAUGGGCAGUGAAAAUUAGGAAGGCUUACUAUUGUGGACAAGAGAUUCGGAACGAAAUAACGACUUUAAAGAAACUGCUUGAUAAAUUCCAGAAAUUGGAUUGUAUGUGUUGAACAGCUUUUUUUUAAAUAACUUUAACUAAUAUUUUUUUUAUAUAUAUUGAAAAUAAACAAAAAAUUUAGCAAAACCAA